rnacentral:rRNA from 1 species
CCCUUAGAUGUUCUGGGCCGCACGCGCGCUACACUGAUGCAUUCAACGAGUUUUUCCUGGUCCGAUAGGUCUGGGUAAUCUUUGAACGCUGUUCGUGAUUGGGAUAGACCUUUGCAAUUAUGGGUCUUCAACGAGGAAUUCCUAGUAAACGCAAGUCAUCAGCUUGCAUUGAUUACGUCCCUGCCCUUUGUACACACCGCCCGUCGCACCUACCGAUUGAAUGGUCCGGUGAAAUCUCGGGACGGCGGCUUGGUCGCUUGCGUCCGACUGCUGAAACUUGAUUAAACCAUAUCAUUUAGAGGAAGGUGAAGUCGUAACA